rnacentral:lncRNA from 1 species
UGGCCUGUUACUUUUACAGUGGUUGUUUUAUGACUAUGAAAUAUUUGUAUGUGAAUGGAACUGACUAUGUGGGGUAGCUUCUUAAGAGAAAAAAUAUACUUUUUGUUUCCUGGAAUCCUUUUGGUUGCAAACAAGAAUCCAGCUCACACAAGCUGAAAUGAAGAGCAAAACAGCAAAAGAAAACUCUGGACAUGUGUGUCCGGGAGGGUUCCUUGCAUGAAGGGUUUGUGAUAGCGAUGAACCUCCAUCAGAAUCAAGAACUUGAUACAGCCAAGACAUCUCUGGAGCUCUGUGUAUUUCUCUGCAUCGUCCUUCUUUCAAUAGGCUGGAGCAUUCUCCGUAAUGAGGAAAGGUGGCUACAUAAUGGGAGGAUGCUUUUCAAACUUAGAGGAAAGAGAAUGUCUCUCUCCCAGAUACAUCCCAAAGAAGAUCCUAGCUAGACUGCAGCAGUUGGGAAGUGGUCUGAGAACUGGCUGGUCCUUUCUCACCCUUGAGUAACCUCAAGGAGAACCUAGAACCUUUGCAAUCUUUUGAAGAUGGUAUCUUCAGAGAGAUGCUAGGGAGACAAGACCCAUCCCUCUGCAGUAGCAUGGACAGCGACAGAGCAGUUGAAGAGCAACUUCACUGAAGCAUUUAUCAGCAAUAACUUCCUCUGUCUUAAACACAUUCUAUUUCAAAGCAUGGGUUUUUUUUUGGGGGGGGGGUGAGGGGUUGUUUUGUUUUUUCUUUGUUUUGUUUUUCAUGAUGAAAAAUAUUAUAUUCAUAGGCUGAAAAGAUAAUUAAGCCAGUAAAGGUGCUUAUUAACUAAACCUGACAACAUGAGUUCAAUCCAAGGGUUUCACAUGAUGGAAGGAGAGAAUAGACUCUGUCAGGCUGUCUUCUGACCUCUGGAUGGGCACCCUGGCUUGCACACAAGCACAUACAUAUACACAGAAUAAAUAAAUGUAAUAAGCAUGUGUAUUCUUUAAUUUGUAACACAUGUCUGGACACUAUUCAAACUUUAGUCAAAAGGUAUAUAAAAAGAGUUGUUCUGACAUUUAUCACAAAAAUAAUGUAUACAUCACAAAUAUUCAACAAUGAAACAUAUGCUAUACAUUUCUUUCUUUCUUUCUUUCUUUCUUUCUUUCUUUCUUUCUUCCUUCCUUCCUUCCUUCCUUCCUUCCUUCCUUCCUUCCUUCCUUCCUUCCUUUCUUUCUCCCUUUCUUCCUUUCUUCCUUUCUUCCUUUCUUUCUUCUUCUCUUUUAUGAGACAGGGUUUCUCUAUGUAGUCCUGGCUGUCUUGGAAUGUAGACCAGGCUGUCCUUGAACUCUCAGAGAUCCUCCCAUCUCUGCCUCUUAAGUACUGGGAUUAAAGGCAUGUACCACCACACCCAAUUAUAUAUAUAUGAAUUAUAAUGCAUGCACAAGAAAAAUAAAAAUAGACUCUUUGUCUUAUUUUUGGUGUGUGUUUUCUUUGACUAUAAGUAUUUUUAAUAAUAGUUUUCAUUAAUGCUUUGAAGAUUUCAUAUGUGUGUACGAUGUGCUUUGAUCAUAUCUACUCUUUCCUCCAAGUCCCCUGGAACACCCCCCUCCACAUGCACAUCCAAUGCAUCUCUCUCCCAAGUAAAUAUUUUUUUCAUCU